GUUUUAUACUGGAAAGGGGGGAGUCGUUUAUUGGCAAAAGCGGGAGGGGCUAGACAGCGGACAUAUUUCAUUCUACAUAUUGGAUUUAAUAAGUGCUGUCUGUGAUGUUUGGCAAGCCUGGUUUAUAUCCAUCUACAAGGUUUGCAAACCCAUGUUGCUGAUUCAGUUCUGCUACAACCCAAAAGACCAGUGUUUAUUUUUCAUUAAAAGAGGUUUUUCUGAUGACUUGAAGAAAAUUUUUGCAAGUGAUGUGCUACUAAUUUGGCUGCAAAUCAUGUGUGCUUGCUUGUAAGUUUAUAAUGUGCUUACUAAGAGAUUCUAUUUAAUACUGUAAGACUAGUGCUUACUGGACUAAAAUGUAAAAUCUCUGGACUGAAGUUAUUAUAAAACACCAUGCAAAGGCAUUAAUUGGAUGUACAUUUUGAAGAGAUAGCUAUGACAAGGGACCAUGUAUUCCUGUAGUUGUUUCCUUCUAUAGGUUCAUUGGUUCAAACCUCCAUUUCAUUAUUCAGAUAUUUUGCAUCCUAUCCCAAUUAGUCACUUCAUCUUCUUUUUUCUAGUUACAUACAGCUUCCUUAUUUUGCUUCCAAAUUAUAUAAAGGUAGAGGAAAUGCUUGUUUAUCAUAGAAACUAAACAAUAAAUAGUUGUGGGAAUUGUUGUUUGUAUGUUGC
rnacentral:lncRNA from 1 species